GCUGCCUCUGACACGGGUUCUCCCAGGUGUUCCACAUGUGUGCAGGUGCCUGUGGCAGUCAGCACAGUUCUCUGGAGCUGGAGUUACAGGUAGUUGUGAGCCACUUGGUGUGGGCUCUGGAAACCGAACCCGGGUCCUCUGGAAGAGCAUGGUGAGCUCUUAGCCUCUGAGUCAUCUCUCCAGCCCCACAAGCAUCGAACAUUAAUUUAACCAAGCAUGGUACAUCAUAAAUUUAUCAGAAGUACAGACAGGGGAACGCUCAGAUUCUUGGAUGAUGUCUGAGGGAGCAGAGACUGUGGAGGACACACUUCUGGAACAUGUGGGGACUAAGAGCACCCCAAAUGGAGAAGUACCUGUGUCCAUGGCACCCUGUUAUUUGGGGACCUGGUGGUUUCUGCCCCUCUCCUGGCAUACAGAGAGUCUUCUCUAGUUAUAAAAUUACAUGAUGGACUGUAGACUGGGAUCAGAUGGUAACCCUUCCACUACCACAUCUGCUCACAUGGAAGCAAUGUGCUGGUACUCUUAAGUGCACCGCAUGUCU
rnacentral:lncRNA from 1 species